UACGGAGGGGACUAGCGUUGUUCGGAAUUACUGGGCGUAAAGCGCACGUAGGCGGAUUUGUAAGUCAGGGGUGAAAUCCCGGGGCUCAACCUCGGAACUGCCUUUGAUACUGCAAAUCUCGAGUCCGGAAGAGGUGAGUGGAAUUCCUAGUGUAGAGGUGAAAUUCGUAGAUAUUAGGAAGAACACCAGUGGCGAAGGCGGCUCACUGGUCCGGUACUGACGCUGAGGUGCGAAAGCGGUGGGGAGCAAACAGG
rnacentral:rRNA from 1 species